GUUUCCUCCUCCAGCCCUUCGCACCGACACCAGAUACUAUGCGCAUCGCUUCAGGCGCACACCGGCACUAGAACAACAAGGGCAGCUGAACCGCUCCGCGACCUCAUGAGUGUGGUUUGGCCUGCCGCUGAGUAGGAGCUCUAUGUGGAUCAAGAGUUGAAGAAGGAGCACCUGAGACCAGUGGUGAGUUCAUCG